AAAGAGAGAAAGAGAGAAAGAGAUGGAUCGUUAGACUCGAGGACGAUCGAGAAACGUCUAUUAAGUUCAUUAGACUAUCACGAGCAGAAGAUACAAAACUUGUUUUUGCAACAUACUCCUCGAGAUUUGUUCUUCUUCGUUGUCUUCAAAUGUGCUUCAAGGAAGCGUAAAAGUUGGACACCCCUGGAUUAUUAAAUCGAGGCGUCAAGAAGAAACUUAAAAAACAUCGCUAAGCAUCUAACCUUGCUCGUUAGCCUCUACCUCGUAGGACUAACGUAGGUGAGGACUAAGUUUCUUCUCAGACUUUCAGUUGGCUAGCUAACGGUAACGGCUA